AAGUCGUAACAAGGUCUCCGUAGGUGAACCUGCGGAGGGAUCAUUACCGAGUGAGGGCCUUCUGGCCCGACCUCCAACCCUUUGAAUUCCGACUCUGUUGCCUCGGGGGCGACCCGGCCCUCACGGGCGUCGGGGCCCCCGGUGGACCACACAACUCUGCAUCCGUGCGUCUGAGUAACAACCGAAUAAGUUAAAACUUUCAACAACGGAUCUCUUGGUUCUGGCAUCGAUGAAGAACGCAGCGAAAUGCGAUAAGUAAUGUGAAUUGCAGAAUUCAGUGAAUCAUCGAAUCUUUGAACGCACAUUGCGCCCCUUGGUAUUCCGAGGGGCAUGCCUGUUCGAGCGUCAUUACACCACUCAAGCCUCGCUUGGUAUUGGGCGCCGCGGUCCGCCGCGCGCCUCAAUGACCCCGGCUGGGUCCUCCGUCCCUCAGCGUUGUGCAAAUCAAUCCGCUGGCAAGGGCGCGGGCGACGCACGCCGUUAAACCUCACAUAAGGUUGACCUCGGAUCAGGUAGGGAUACCCGCUGAACUUAAGCAUAUCAAUAAGCGGAGGAAAAGAAACCAACAGGGAUUGCCCUAGUAACGGCGAGUGAAGCGGCAACAGCUCAAAUUUGAAAUCUGGCGCAAGCCCGAGUUGUAAUUUGUAGAGGAUGCUUCGGGGCAGCGGCCGGUCUAAGUUCCUUGGAACAGGACGUCAUAGAGGGUGAGAAUCCCGUAUGCGACCGGUUGGCACCCCACACGUAGCUCCUUCGACGAGUCGAGUUGUUUGGGAAUGCAGCUCUAAAUGGGAGGUAAAUUUCUUCUAAAGCUAAAUACCGGCCAGAGACCGAUAGCGCACAAGUAGAGUGAUCGAAAGAUGAAAAGCACUUUGGAAAGAGAGUUAAAAAGCACGUGAAAUUGUUGAAAGGGAAGCGCAAGCAACCAGACUUGUCGGCGGUGUUCACCCGGUCUUCUGACCGGGCUACUCGCCGCCGGCAGGCCAACAUCACCUGGGGCCGCCGGAUAAAGGUGUCGGGAAUGUAGCUCCCCUCGGGGAGUGUUAUAGCCCGGCGCACAAUACGGUGCGCCCCGAGUGAGGUCCGCGCUUCGGCUAGGAUGUUGGCGUAAUGGUCGUUUGCGGCC
rnacentral:rRNA from 1 species